CCUACGGGUGGCUGCAGCAAGGAAUCUUCCGCAAUGGGCGCAAGCCUGACGGAGCAACGCCGCGUGGAGGACGACGGCCUUCGGGUUGUAAACUCCUUUUCCCAGGGACGAAACGGACGGUACCUGGGGAAUCAGCCCCGGCUAACUCUGUGCCAGCAGCCGCGGUAAGACAGAGGGGGCAAGCGUUGUCCGGAUUUACUGGGCGUACAGCGCGCGCAGGCGGCUGGGUAUGUGACCGGUGACAGCCUCGGGCUCAACUCGAGGUGGUCUGGUUA
rnacentral:rRNA from 1 species